GACCUAUUAAUGAAAAAAAAAAUCUCAUUUGGUAAAAUGUUUGUUGAUAAAUUUUAGUGAUAGAUUAGAAAAUCUGUCGAUAAUUACCAACAACCACAAAUUCAUUGAUAAUUUUUCGUCGGUAAUUAUGAAGAAAAAAUUCAUCAGUAAAUAUUUGUUUGUUAUUAUUGAUAAAUUCUUCUUUUUGAUAAAUAUUGCAAUUUGCUUCUUCUUAUUUCCUACUCCUCUUCCUCUGACAAGUUGUGACCACUGCCAUUGGCUUCAUUGUCGUCAUUGAUUCUUUCUCCUCUUCCUCCUCUUCCUUCUUCUUCACCUCAUUCUUCUCUCAUUCAUCCUUUUUCACCACCAUUGUUGUUCUUCUUUCCAUCGUUGCAGAUUGCACCACCUCCAACUCCCAUCCUUCUCCUCCUUCUACUUCAUCUUCUUCUCUUACUCCUUCCAUUUGUUUCUCACACAUCUCUAAUUAAUUUAUAAACAUAUUUCAUUAGAUUGUGUGAGAAAAUUUGGAGCCCAACUUUUGGAUUUAUCAAUAAUUUUUUUAUUAACAAUCAAAAUUUUAUUUUACAUAUGAUUUUAACCACGAAAAGGUCAGAGCUAAAAUGAAAAAUAAUGUCAUUUUAUCAACGGGAAAAUUUGUUGGUAAUAACAAUUCUAGAUAACUUAUGGGUCAAUGGAUAUUUACUGACAAUUAGUU
rnacentral:lncRNA from 1 species